AUUUUUUAUGAGAACAAAAUUUUUGUAACUAUUAAGAAGCUUUAAUAUAUUGAAAAAAAUAUUUAUUUCCACCAAAUAAGAUUUGUUAAUAGUUAAAAAAUAUUUUGUUGGUGGUCGGUGUUGAUAGAUGGCUAUACUUAAAAACAAUUAAUAAAAUGGAAGCUUUGCUACAAUCGUGGGAUUUAAGUGAGUUAUACUCGAUUUUUUGUGUAAACCAUAUAACUGACUUUGAAAUCCUUGGUGAAUUCCUUACUAAAACUCGAGAAGAGACCCAAAAAGAAGUAAUCCCUAGUGUUUGUUUACGACUUCGUUUAAAUAAAAAAUAUAAUGAAUAUAUUUCCCAUCACGAGAAGAUUAAUGUAAAACUUUUCUAAAAAUAAUAAGAGGAAUUUUUUAAAUAUUAAUAAUCCAAAACCGUGAAACAAUGAAUAAAUUUUUGGUACCAAUUCUGGUUCUGCUAAUAAUUUCAUUAGCAAAUGCAGAAAUAUGUGACCAUGAUUCAAUGGACAUAGAUGGCGCUUGUGUCAAAGUAGUCGGCAAUUCAUGCACUAACGAUGCUGACUGCCGUCGCAAUGACGCAGCAUGUUUGGAAGGCACUUGUCAGUGGGUCCAAAAUUGGAUGGCGAAUAAAGAACGGCAUGGAUCGUAUGUUGCAAAAGCAUUGGGUGAUGUCUGUAUAGGGAAUAAACAUUGUCGGGAGUUGUCCGGUGCAGUAUGUGUCCAAUUCAGAUGCGUCACUGCCGCUAGUCUUCCAAAAAGUGAUUAAGUUGGACAAUUAAGCAAUGCCAUUAUUGAUUGUUGCGAUAAUGUAUUUGGUUAUGAAUUAUGAAAUAAAUAAAUAUAUUGAGCAAUUA